rnacentral:rRNA from 1 species
GAUGAACGCUAGCUACAGGCUUAACACAUGCAAGUCGCGGGGCAGCAUGGGGGUUGCUUGCAAUCCCCGAUGGCGACCGGCGCACGGGUGAGUAACGCGUAUCCAACCUGCCCUUCGCCACGGGAUAACCCGGCGAAAGUCGGACUAAUACCGUAUGUUGUCCAUUGACGGCAUCCGAUUUGGACGAAAGGUUUGGCGGUGAAGGAUGGGGAUGCGUCCGAUUAGCUGGACGGCGGGGUGACGGCCCACCGUGGCGACGAUCGGUAGGGGUUCUGAGAGGAAGGUCCCCCACACUGGAACUGAGACACGGUCCAGACUCCUACGGGAGGCAGCAGUGAGGAAUAUUGGUCAAUGGGCGUAAGCCUGAACCAGCCAAGUAGCGUGCAGGAUGACGGCCCUAUGGGUUGUAAACUGCUUUUAUGCGGGGAUAAAGUGGCCCACGUGUGGGUUUUUGCAGGUACCGCAUGAAUAAGGACCGGCUAAUUCCGUG